rnacentral:rRNA from 1 species
AUUGAACGCUGGCGGCAGGCCUAACACAUGCAAGUCGAGCGGAUGAAGGGAGCUUGCUCCUGGAUUCAGCGGCGGACGGGUGAGUAAUGCCUAGGAAUCUGCCUGGUAGUGGGGGAUAACGUCCGGAAACGGGCGCUAAUACCGCAUACGUCCUGAGGGAGAAAGUGGGGGAUCUUCGGACCUCACGCUAUCAGAUGAGCCUAGGUCGGAUUAGCUAGUUGGUGGGGUAAAGGCCUACCAAGGCGACGAUCCGUAACUGGUCUGAGAGGAUGAUUCGACACACUGGAACUGAGACACGGUCCAGACUCCUGCGGGAGGCAGCAGUGGGGAAUACUGGACAAUGGGCGAAAGCCUGAUCCAGCCAUGCCGCGUGUGUGAAGAAGGUCUUCGGAUUGUAAAGCACUUUAAGUUGGGAGGAAGGGCAGUAAGUUAAUACCUUGCUGUUUUGACGUUACCAACAGAAUAAGCACCGGCUAACUUCGUG